rnacentral:rRNA from 1 species
UAUCCUAACCGUGCAAAGGUAGCGCAAUCAAUUGUCCCAUAAAUCGAGACUAGUAUGAAUGGCUAAACGAGGUCUUAACUGUCUCUUACAGGCAAUCGGUGAAAUUGAUCUCCCUGUACAAAAGCAGGGAUAUACCCAUAAGACGAGAAGACCCUGUGGAACUUUAAAACCAGCAACCACCUUAAAACACAUAUCCACCCACCGGGUUCACUGACACAUAAGAUGCUGGUCUGCGUUUUUCGGUUGGGGCGACCUUGGAGCAAAACAAAACCUCCAAAAACUGGACCACACCUCUAGACCAAGAGCAACCUCUCAACGUGCUAAUAGUACCCAGACCCAAUAUAAUUGAUCAAUGGACCAAGCUACCCCAGGGAUAACAGCGCAAUCUCCUCCGAGAGUCCGUAUCGACGGGGAGGUUUACGACCUCGAUGUUGGAUCAGGACAUCCUAGUGGUGCAGCCGCUACUAA